CUCCCGUAGGUGAACCUGCGGAAGGAUCAUUAUUGUAUAACCGAGGUGCGAGGGCUGUCGCUGACCCGAAAGGUCAUGCACGCCCGAGUGCCCUCACACACAUCCAUCUCACCCCUAUGUGCACCACCGCGUGGGUCCCCCUUUGGCUUGUUCGGAGGGGGGCUUACGUUUUCACACAAACUUUGUAUGCAGUGUAGAAUGUAUUUUUUGUUUUUGCGAUCACGCAAUCAAUACAACUUUCAACAACGGAUCUCUUGGCUCUC
rnacentral:misc_RNA from 1 species